AUGCUGAAAUUAUAUUCUUGUGCAGGUGCCCUCUGUUCCUGUGUGGAAUUUCUCCAAAGCAUAUAUAUAUAUAUAUGUAUAUAUAUACACACACACACACACACACAUACAAAUAUAUACAUAUAUAUUUAUUUACACACACACACACACUCAAGAGUGAAAUCCUACAUGGGGUAUAUAUUUGUUGUUCAUUUUAAUAGGGAAUUUCAGAUUGUUCUCCUAACAGCUAAUUCAUUUUACACUCUCAAAAUAAGAAUGUGAGAUUUUCUUAAUCUUCUCCAGCACUUUAUAUUAUUAAACUUGUUAUUGUCAUAAUGAGUAUAAAGUAUUUAUAUACUCUUUUAAUUUUUAUUUCUCUGAUUACUGAUGAGAUAGAGUUUCUUUUCAGUGUCUUUUUCUAAUAGAUUAUAUUUUCCUGUUUCUUUGUAUGUUGGUUUCUGUCCUUCUCAUGUUGAAUGCUAUGUUGCAGCAUAGCAUUGGGAUCAAAGGCCCCUGCUCCUCAAAGGACUGUUGUAUUCAUUUCCCUGUUACCUGGUUAAACAAAUGUUCCUACAGAAUGUAUUAGCUCAGAUCUCUGUGUAACUGAAGGCUUUUUUUAUUUUUAAUAAUAAUUUUUAUUUUUAACUAUUAUUUUAAAAUAUUUUUUAUUUUUAACUAGGAUCUUUGCUGUCUGUCCUAUACAUGUAUAAUUUAGUGGUCAGAUAGAGAUUGGACAAAGUUACAAGUACAAUGUGACUACAGUUCACCUUUCCUGUCCCUUUUCUUUUGGAUUAUUCCCUCACUUUGGGGCAAUAAUAGGCACCACCCCCAGCUUCUUUGUUCCCUGUGCAAGAAAGAUGGCAUUUAUUUAUUUAUUUAUUUAUUUAUUUAUUUUUGUCUUUUUGCCGCCCCUGCGGCAUAUGGAGGUUCCCAGGCUAGGGGUCUAAUCGGAGCUGUAGCUGCCAGCCUAUGCCAGAGCCACAGCAAUGCAGGAUCUGAGCUGUGUCUGCAACCCACACCACAGCUCACGGCAACGCCAGAUCCUCAAGGCAAGGCCAGGGAUCGGACCCUCAAUCUCAUGGUUCCUAGUCGGAUUCGUUAACCACUAAGCCAUGACGGGAACUCCCAAGAUGGCAUGAUAAGAACUUCAACCCCUGCAUUUGGUGUGACUGGUACCCAACCUCAGGCCAAAACUGCUAAGGUGAGGAAUUUAGCCGGUCCCAUCUAUUCUUCCAGAUUCCAGCUUACCCCUAAAGACUACCUUUGGUAGUUGCUUUUUAAAUUUUAUUCAGAAUCUAUGGUUAUUAUCUGUAGGUGGAUUAAUCUACCUGAAAGUUACUGUGGCAUACAUGAAAGCAGAACUCCUCAUCUAUUAAGUUUUAUAUUUCAAUAAUUAUAUAUUUCACUCCAAGAAUUCCCAUGUUGUUCUUUAAAAAAAAGUUCUCAUAGUAGGAGACCUAAAUACCCCCCUCACAUCAAUGGACAGAUCCUCCAGACAGAAAACCAAUAAAGCAACAGAGAUCCUAAAGGAAACA
rnacentral:lncRNA from 1 species